CCGGCACGGGUGAGUAACACGUAUCCAACCUGCCGUCUACUCUUGGACAGCCUUCUGAAAGGGAGAUUAAUACAAGAUGGCAUCAUGAGUCCACAUGUUCACAUGAUUAAAGGUAUUCCGGUAGACGAUGGGGAUGCGUUCCAUUAGAUAGUAGGCGGGGUAACGGCCCACCUAGUCUUCGAUGGAUAGGGGUUCUGAGAGGAAGGUCCCCCACAUUGGAACUGAGACACGGUCCAA
rnacentral:rRNA from 1 species